GGGUCUUCCAGGUCCCAGUGGACUAAAAGGCGACAGUGGAGAGCCUGGGCCUCUGGGGCCACGUGGGUUGCCAGGUCCUGCUGGUCUUAAUGGGAAACCAGGGAAGAGGGGCCGAUCAGGGGCAGAUGGAGGUCGAGGGGCUCCUGGAGAGACAGGAGCAAAGG